rnacentral:rRNA from 1 species
CGGUCAAGCUACGAAGGGCGCAUGGUGGAUGCCUUGGCACCAGCCGGCGAGGAAGGACGUGGCUAGCUGCGAAAAGCCUCGGGGAGCCGCUAGCAGGCCGUGAUCCGGGGAUGUCCGAAUGGGGAAACCCGGUCGGGGUAAUACCCGGUCAUCCGUACGUGAAUCCAUAGCGUGCGGAGGCGAACGCGGGGAAGUGAAACAUCUCAGUACCCGCAGGAAGAGAAAUCAACCGAGAUUCCCUCAGUAGCGGCGAGCGAACGGGGAAGAGCCCAAACCGUCCUUGCGUGAUAGCCCGCAAGCGUUGCAGGGGCGGGGUUGUGGGGGAGCACCGGAAGGGGUUGCGGACCCUUCGGGAAGUGAGAAAUGUUCCGUGUAGCCGAAGCGUCUGGGACGGCGCGCCACAGAGGGUGACAGCCCCGUAGGCGAAACACGAGGACACUUCCUGGGUGCUCUGCCCGAGUACCACGGGGCACGUGGAACCCCGUGGGAAGCCGGGAGGACCAUCUUCCAAGGCUAAAUACGAGCUGGUGACCGAUAGUGAACGAGUACCGUGAGGGAAAGGUGAAAAGGACCCCGUAGAGGGGAGUGAAAAGGACCUGAAACCAUGCGCCUACAGCCUGUGGGAGCC